rnacentral:rRNA from 1 species
UACGUAGGGUGCAAGCGUUAAUCGGAAUUACUGGGCGUAAAGCGUGCGCAGGCGGUUUUGUAAGUCUGUCGUGAAAGCCCCGGGCUCAACCUGGGAAUUGCGAUGGAGACUGCAAAGCUUGAAUCUGGCAGAGGGGGGUAGAAUUCCACGUGUAGCAGUGAAAUGCGUAGAGAUGUGGAGGAACACCGAUGGCGAAGGCAGCCCCCUGGGUCAAGAUUGACGCUCAUGCACGAAAGCGUGGGGAGCAAACAGG